rnacentral:rRNA from 1 species
AACGAACGCUGGCGGCGUGGAUAAGACAUGCAAGUCGAACGGAAUUACUUUUGUAGCAAUACAGAAGUAAUUCAGUGGCGAACGGGUGCGUAACACGUGGGCAAUCUGCCGAAAAGUGGGGGAUAGCUCGCCGAAAGGCGAAUUAAUACCGCAUGUGGUGAGGGACGACAUCUUCCUGAAUCCAAAGCCGGGGCAACCUGGCGCUUUUUGAGGAGCCCGCGGCCUAUCAGCUUGNGGCGGGGUAACGGCCCACCAAGGCUAUGACGGGUAGCUGGUCUGAGAGGACGACCAGUCACACUGGAACUGAGACACGGUCCAGACACCUACGGGUGGCAGCAGUCGAGAAUUUUUCUCAAGUGGGGGCAAACCCUGAAGGAGCGACGCCGCGUGGAGGAUGAAGGCUUUGGGUUGUAAACUCCUGUCAUUUGGGAACAAGCUGCACACGUUAACU